GUCGGCGUGGCUCAACGGUAGAGCGGCGGGCCAGUAACCCGCUGGUUGGGGGUUCGACUCCCUCCGCCGACUCCU
rnacentral:tRNA from 1 species